UACGUAGGGUGCGAGCGUUGUCCGGAAUUAUUGGGCGUAAAGGGCGCGUAGGCGGCCUUCUAAGUCGAACGUGAAAUCCCCGGGCUCAACCCGGGAACUGCGUCCGAUACUGGAAGGCUUGAAUCCGGGAGAGGGAUGUGGAAUUCCAGGUGUAGCGGUGAAAUGCGUAGAUAUCUGGAGGAACACCGGUGGCGAAGGCGACAUCCUGGACCGGUAUUGACGCUGAGGCGCGAAAGCCAGGGGAGCAAACGGG
rnacentral:rRNA from 1 species